GAUGAACGCUAGCGGCAGGCCUAACACAUGCAAGUCGAGGGGCAGCACGUCUUCGGAUGGUGGCGACCGGCGCACGGGUGCGUAACGCGUAUGCAACCUACCUCUUACAGUGGGAUAGCCCAGAGAAAUUUGGAUUAAUACCGCAUAGUAUACAGAUUCAGCAUUGGGACUGUAUUAAACAUUUAUGGGUAAGAGAUGGGCAUGCGUUCUAUUAGUUAGUUGGAGUGGUAACGGCACCCCAACGACAGCGAUAGAUAGGGCCCGUCGAGAGGGGGAGUCCCCCACCACUGGCACUGAGACACGGACCGAGACUCCUACGGGAGGCAGCAGUGAGGAAUAUUGGACAAUGGGCGGAGAGCCUGAU
rnacentral:rRNA from 1 species